rnacentral:rRNA from 1 species
CCUACGGGAGGCAGCAGUGAGGAAUUUUCCGCAAUGGGCGAAAGCCUGACGGAGCAAUACCGCGUGAGGGAUGAAGGAUUUUGGUCUGUAAACCUCUUUUCUCAAGAAAGAAGUUCUGACGGUACUUGAGGAAUAAGCAUCGGCUAACUCCGUGCCAGCAGCCGCGGUAAUACGGGGGAUGCAAGCGUUAUCCGGAAUGAUUGGGCGUAAAGCGCCUGUAGGUUGUUUAUUAAGUCCGUUGUUAAAGCCUAGGGCUUAACCCUAGAAAAGCAAUGGAAACUAGUAGACUAGAGUAUGGCAGGGGUAGAGGGAAUUUCUAGUGUAGCGGUGAAAUGCGUAGAUAUUAGAAAGAACACCGGUGGCGAAAGCGCUCUACUGGACCAUUACUGACACUCAGAGGCGAAAGCUAGGGUAGCAAAAGGGAUUAGAUACCCCUGUAGUCCUAGCCGUAAACGAUGGAUACUAGAUGUUGUGCAUUAUGUACAGUAUCGUAGCUAACGCGUUAAGUAUCCCGCCUGGGGAGUACGCUCGCAAGGGUGAAACUCAAAGAUAGUACGACGUGAGAGAGCGACGACGACGACGACGAGGAGAG